rnacentral:rRNA from 1 species
GACGAACGCUGGCGGCGUGCUUAACACAUGCCAGUCGAACGGAAAGGCCCUGCUUUUGUGGGGUGCUCGAGUGGCGAACGGGUGAGUAACACGUGAGUAACCUGCCCUUGACUUUGGGAUAACUUCAGGAAACUGGGGCUAAUACCGGAUAGGAGCUCCUGCUGCAUGGUGGGGGUUGGAAAGUUUCGGCGGUUGGGGAUGGACUCGCGGCUUAUCAGCUUGUUGGUGGGGUAGUGGCUUACCAAGGCUUUGACGGGUAGCCGGCCUGAGAGGGUGACCGGCCACAUUGGGACUGAGAUACGGCCCAGACUGCUACGGGAGGCAGCAGUGGGGAAUAUUGAACAAUGGGCGGAAGCCUGAUGCAGCAACGCCGCGUGCGGGAUGACGGCCUUCGGGAUGUAAACCGCUUUCGCCUGUGACGAAGCGUGAGUGACGGUAAUGGGUAAAGAAGCACCGGCUAACUACGUG